rnacentral:lncRNA from 1 species
GACUCUGGGGCCCAACUAAAUGCUCGCAGACAAGGGUCACGUCGGGGCACACUGCCCACCCUAUGUCCUCGGGCCUCGGAGAGGCAACGCCGAGUGGGCCGCCCAGGUGUCCUCGGGUCCCUCCCCGCUUUCCCACCGAGCUUGCACGCAAGCAUACACUCCUGGCCCGCUGCGGGCGCGCGCGCCUCGCGCGCCCCCGGAAUCUAUAUUUUCCCCUCAUUAGGAGCCUGAGUUUCGCGUUUGCAUCUUAAUGAGUAGCUGGGAGCGCGCGGGGACCUCCACGUGAGCGGCCG